GCUAAGAAUCUUGCGCAAUGGGCGAAAGCCUGACGCAGCAAUUCCGCGUGGGGGACGAAGGCCCUCGGGUCGUAAACCCCUUUUGCGAGGGAAGAAGUUCUGACGGUACCUCGCGAAUAAGACACGGCUAACUACGUGCCAGCAGCCGCGGUAAUACGUAGGUGUCGAGCGUUGUCCGGAUUUAUUGGGCGUAAAGCGCCCGCAGGCGGCUUGCCAAGUUCGAAGUGAAAUCUCCCGGCUUAACUGGGAGGCUGCUCCGAAAACUGGCAGGCUUGAGUCAUGGAGAGGGAUGUGGAAUUCCCGGUGUAGUGGUGAAAUGCGUAGAUAUCGGGAGGAACACCAGUGGCGAAGGCGGCAUCCUGGCCAUGUACUGACGCUCAGGGGCGAAAGCGUGGGGAGCAAACCGGAUUAGAUACCCCAGUAGUCC
rnacentral:rRNA from 1 species